rnacentral:rRNA from 1 species
GACGAACGCGGCGGCGUGCCUAUACAUGCAAGUAGAACGCUGAAGAGAGGAGCUUGCUCUUCUGGGAGAGUUGCGAACGGGUGAGUAACGCGUAGGUAACCUGCCUUGUAGCGGGGGAUAACUAUUGGAAACGAUAGCUAAUACCGCAUAACAAUGGGUGACCCAUGUCAUUCAUUUAAAAGGGGCAACUGCUCCACUACAAGAUGGACCUGCGUUGUAUUAGCUAGUAGGUGAGGUAACGGCUCACCUAGGCGACGAUACAUAGCCGACCUGAGAGGGUGAUCGGCCACACUGGGACUGAGACACGGCCCAGACUCCUACGGGAGGCAGCAGUAGGGAAUCUUCGGCAAUGGGGGCAACCCUGACCGAGCAACGCCGCGUGAGUGAAGAAGGUUUUCGGAUCGUAAAGCUCUGUUGUAAGUCAAGAACGAGUGUGAGAGUGGAAAGUUCACACUGUGACGGUAGCUUACCAGAAAGGGACGGCUAACUACGUGCCAGCAGCCGCGGUAAUACGUAGGUCCCGAGCGUUGUCCGGAUUUAUUGGGCGUAAAGCGAGCGCAGGCGGUUUGAUAAGUCUGAAGUUAAAGGCUGUGGCUCAACCAUAGUUUGCUUUGGAAACUGUCAAACUUGAGUGCAGAAGGGGAGAGUGGAAUUCCAUGUGUAGCGGUGAAAUGCGUAGAUAUAUGGAGGAACACCGGUGGCGAAAGCGGCUCUCUGGUCUGUAACUGACGCUGAGGCUCGAAAGCGUGGGGAGCGAACAGG